CUAAAUCAGGAAGCGUGACUAAACAAUAAACAGUUUACAAUAAUUGGACUUAAUACACUUAUUGACUUAAGUGGAAGCAGGCUGAAAGCACAGACAUGCUGGAGUUUGCUGCUACGCUGUUAUUA